AGAAAAGGUUUUUGAGGAAUUCAGUAGAACUUUCGCACGCAAAGAGGCAUUUCAAGGUAACACAGGUAAGACGAGACAGCAAGUUACUCUGGAAAUUGCAGCAGAAAGUUCGAACGAUAUCGCAACGAUCAAAGAAGAACUGAAACGGGUCGAGACAGAACAAUGUCAUACUGAGACCAUCGAAACACAACAGGAGAUUGAUUUGAGACAACUGGAAAAAAUUAUGGAAAUACAAGACCUCCACGAAGUUCGUAUUGAGUGUGAACCCGCUCUUGGAUACAUCAGAAUCACCGGGUUGGCAAGGAAUGUAGCGAUUGCUGUGGGGAAGACUCACAAAAUAAUCCACGACUGGGAACGAGAGAGACACCACACGGAUGUGACUGUCCGAGAGGUUGAAUGGUUCUAUUACGAGGGCAAUAGAGGCGUUGUUAUUCCUGAAAAGUACGCAA